rnacentral:rRNA from 1 species
UGAGGAACAUGACCUUCGGCGGGGGAUAGCCGGCCCAACGGCCGGGUAAUACCGCGUACGACCACAUGGGGACAUCCCUGAGUGGUGAAAGCAGCAAUGCGCCGAUGGAGUGCCUCGCGGCCUAUCAGCUAGUUGGUGAGGUAAUGGCUCACCAAGGCGACGAUGCGUAGCCGACCUGAGAGGGUGAUCGGCCACAUUGGAACUGAGACAUGGUCCAGACCUCCG